rnacentral:rRNA from 1 species
GACGAAGGAUGCAAGCGUUAUCCGGAUUCAUUGGGUUUACAGGGUGCGUAGGCGGACCUGUAAGUCAGUGGUGAAAUCUCUUUGCUUACCAAAGAAACUGCCAUUGAUACUGCAAGUCUAGAGUAUAGAUGACGUUGGCGGAAUAUGACAUGUAGUGGUGAAAUACGUAGAUAUGUCAUAGAACACCGAGUGCGAAGGCAGCUAACGAAACUAUAACUGACGCUGAGGCACGAAAGUGCGGGGAUCAAACAGG